GACGAACGCUGGCGGCGUGCUUAACACAUGCAAGUCGUACGGUAAGGCCCUUUCGGGGGUUCACGAGUGGCGAACGGGUGAGUAACACGUGAGUAACCUGCCCACAACUUUGGGAUAACGCUAGGAAACUGGUGCUAAUACUGGCUAUGUUCUCCUGCUGCAUGGUGGGGGUUGGAAAGCUCCGGCGGUUGUGGAUGGACUCGCGGCCUAUCAGCUUGUUGGUGGGGUAGUGGCCUACCAAGGCGGCGACGGGUAGCCGGCCUGAGAGGGUGACCGGCCACAUUGGGACUGAGAUACGGCCCAGACUCCUACGGGAGGCAGCAGUGGGGAAUAUUGCACAAGGGGCGCAAGCCUGAUGCAGCAACGCCGCGUGCGGGAUGACGGCCUUCGGGUUGUAAACCGCUUUCAGCAGGGACGAAGCUUUUUGUGACGGUACCUGCAGAAGAAGCACCGGCUAACUACGCG
rnacentral:rRNA from 1 species